UGGGGAAUAUUGCACAAUGGGGGAAACCCUGAUGCAGCGACGCCGCGUGAGUGAAGAAGUAUUUCGGUACGUAAAGCUCUAUCAGCAGGGAAGAAAGAAAGUCCUUUGGACUUUGGACGGUACCUGACCAAGAAGCCCCGGCUAACUACGUGCC
rnacentral:rRNA from 1 species